AGCCCUGUGGGAGAGAAAGCGGUGAUGGUCGGUCCCACUCAGCAAGAACAAAGAAGGUCUCAGGAAAACCUAUCCUUUGCUCAAGGACGUUUCUGUGACUCCACUGCAACCCUGAGUGAGGCCCCAGAGAAGAGAUUGGGUACAUAUGAAAGGGCUUUUCUACAGGAAGUUCCUAGAAAGUAAGAAAACUGAAGAUAAAUGACAACAUAACACAACCUUAUAUGAACUGACCGUGUUGAAGAAAAGGUGGGAAGACCAUGGGACAAAUGUUAAGACAGCAACAGGAUGACUCGGAAGGUGUGUGGGAAUGUGGGUGUCCCACGCGAAAGAGACAUGCUGGGAGGGACACAGACAGUCUCCUUGGAGUGAUGUGGCCCAGAUGUCCAUGGAAACGAGCCCUCAGCAACAGCUCUAAAUGCAGUCCCACCGACAAGCCACAGGUGGGCUCCAACCCGACCCGUGGAAGGUGAGCCCGACACAGCGUUCGCUGGAUUAAGAGCUGUAACAGGAGAAUCUAGUCGGUGGUAUGCCUCUGCGGCUUUGUCCUAAGGAAAGGAUUUGGAGCACAUGCCUUUUUCACACCCAGAUUGGCACAAUGGCUUGUGCUACAGGAAAUGACCAAAUGGCAAAUUCUGCUGAGCUCUCAGUGUAGAAUGGAAAACUGACGUCGUUCUCAUGGCUGACUGCAAGUGUAUACUUGAAAAUGUGGAAUCCUAAACUGGCAUUUGAAUGUAAAACGUCUGCGUGCUGAGGACUAGCCCUUAAUCACAGUUAUGAUGAAACACACAGGAAAAGGGUGUGCUGCCAGUUCGGGGAUAAGUCCUCGAACAUGCAAUGGGGCAAGGACAGCGAAAUCACUGAAAACCAAAGUGAAAGUGGAUAUUUCCAAACCUGUGCUAUGAAAUCACCCCUGAAUAAAAUUUACAAAUAGAAAUAUACUGAAAAGGGAAGAAGACUAGUUAAAACAACUCCUUGCCAGUGUAAUACAACAAACAUGGGAAAGGACGAAGCCUCCACCAAGAGCCCUGAGCUGACACCAAUGGACCAUCACAUCCCCAGGCCUAUGCCUAGGAUCCCGGCUUUAUACCAAAUUCACUACAAGGUACUAAGACGACCACAACUCUCUGAAGAAACUCCCACUCUUCUGCCCAGAUGAUCAAAAUAUGAUGUCCCACUGAACGCUCAUUUUGUAAUUCCCAAAAAUACUUCCCAAGUUUAUGGUCAUGGAAGCCUGCUGCUACCAUCUACAGUCAGAAUAAUACCUGUGUGUUCUUAACUGAUUCUUCCUUGUUUCCUUUUCGGCCAAAUUUCACUCCAGCAAUGUUAACUUUCAAACAAAGCAAAAUAAUUAAAACUAACUGGAGCAAAGAAUAGAGACAUAAUUUUAUUAGGCACUUCAGUCCUUUGCAGUCUUAAGGGUUCUUCAAAAGCACUGGAUGAACUUCACUCAGAGAGUUUUCCUUUAUAGUAAGUUAAUUUUUUCAUAUCAACUUUACCCUUGAACUGUAUAAAUGGGAUCCAGUACAAAAUAAGUGAUUCUUUCAGAUACUAUCAGAAACAAAGGAGAAUACACAUAUACAUUCUAAAGCAUCAACCACCUGGGAAAUGUGUUUUAGUACAGCUGUGAAAACGAUGGCAUGUUCUGGGUUCUUUAACCUUGAAAAGGACGGUUCAAGAUAUUAAAAAAAAGUUACUUGAGUUAGUUCUUCCUGGUUGCCUUCAGUGAAGCUGUGUUUGAAAUAUGAUUAAGGUUCUUUUGUUUCUGUCUGUAUUCCAUUUUAGGAUUUUACCCCAUCCUUGUUAACUUCAUUUAUUUUUUUAAGUAUGUGAAACAUUAACAUGGUUUCAAAAGUCAGAACUUUAUCAACAAGUAUUUUGUUGUGACAACAAGAAGUGUCACUUCUCUGUCCCAUUUCUUCUAGCUGGCCCUCACCCAGCCCUCUAGGCAACCAAUCUCAGUAUGUGCUGGUUUAGCCUUCGUAUGUUUCUUUUUUGUAAAGGUAAGCAAAUAUACAUAUGUUUUCUUAUAUCAUCUUGUUUAUUACAUGAAGGGUUGCAUACCCUUUUAUGCACUUGGCUUUUUUCCACCUAACAGUAUGUCCUGGAAAUCACUCCUCAUCCACCCAUAGCUUUCUUCCUUGAUCUUUUUACAGCUGCAUAGGACUCCCUUGUGUGACUGUACCACCGUUUAUUCGACCACUGUCUAUGUAUAGGAACUGACAUUGUUGCCAAUAUUUUGCAAUUAUCAAUCAUGCUGCAGUGAAUAACCUUGUGCAUAUGUAUUUUCACAUUGUCGGAGGUGUAUCUUUAGGGCCAAUUGCUGGAAGUGGGAUUGCUGGGGCAAAAGAGAAACACAUAUGCAUUUUUGUUAGAUGUCAUAUUCCCCGGCAUUGGAGUUGUAAAAAGGACAUUUUUAAAAGCACGAAGAAGAAAAGCUGCUAUUCACAAGAGAAACCAAAGAGUCUUUCUUGUUGCCAU